AGCGAACGCUGGCGGCAGGCCUAACACAUGCAAGUCGAACGAAGUCUUCGGACUUAGUGGCGGACGGGUGAGUAACACGUGGGAACGUGCCUUUAGGUUCGGAAUAACUCAGGGAAACUUGUGCUAAUACCGAAUGUGCCCUUCGGGGGAAAGAUUUAUCGCCUUUAGAGCGGCCCGCGUCUGAUUAGCUAGUUGGUGAGGUAAAGGCUCACCAAGGCAACGAUCUAUAGCUGGUCUGAGAGGAUGAUCAGCCACACUGGGACUGAGACACGGCCCAGACUCCUACGGGAGGCAGCAGUGGGGAAUCUUGCGCAAUGGGCGAAAGCCUGACGCAGCCAUGCCGCGUGAAUGAUGAAGGUCUUAGGAUUGUAAAAUUCUUUUACCAGGGACGAUAAUGACGGUACCUGGAGAAAAAGCCCCGGCUAACUUCGUGCCAGCAGCCGCCGUAAGAC
rnacentral:rRNA from 1 species